GCGAACGUAGCUCAGUUGGGAGAGCGCACCCUUGCCACGGUUGUGGUCGCGAGUUCGACCCUAGUCGUUCGAUCCA
rnacentral:tRNA from 1 species